AACGAACGCUGGCGGCAGGCCUAACACAUGCAAGUCGAGCGAGGACUUCGGUCCUAGCGGCGGACGGGUGAGUAACGCGUGGGAACGUGCCCUUUGCUACGGAAUAGCCCCGGGAAACUGGGAGUAAUACCGUAUGUGCCCGAGAGGGGAAAGAUUUAUCGGCAAAGGAUCGGCCCGCGUUGGAUUAGGUAGUUGGUGGGGUAAUGGCCUACCAAGCCGACGAUCCAUAGCUGGUUUGAGAGGAUGAUCAGCCACACUGGGACUGAGACACGGCCCAGACUCCUACGGGAGGCAGCAGUGGGGAAUCUUAGACAAUGGGGGAGACCCUGAUCUAGCCAUGCCGCGUGAGCGAUGAAGGCCUUAGGGUUGUAAAGCUCUUUCAGUGGGGAAGAUAAUGACGGUACCCACAGAAGAAGCCCCGGCUAACUCCGUGCCAGCCGCCGCCUAACAC
rnacentral:rRNA from 1 species